rnacentral:lncRNA from 1 species
GGGUCUAGCCAAAUCCAGAGGCUCACAGACUGAAACAGCACACUUCUCCCACUGGCCUCUUCUUCACCAUGAUUCACAGUCUUUUCUUGAUCAACUCUGCUGGGGAUAUUUUCCUGGAGAAGCACUGGAAAAGCGUGGUCAGCCGCUCUGUUUGCGAUUACUUUUUCGAGGCCCAAGAGAGAGCUACGGAGGCUGAAAAUGUGCCUCCCGUCAUCCCCACACCUCACCACUACCUUCUGAGCGUUUACCGGCACAAGAUCUUCUUUGUGGCUGUGAUCCAGACGGAGGUCCCGCCUCUGUUUGUCAUUGAAUUCCUUCACCGAGUAGUGGACACAUUUCAGG